ACGGGGUGCAGCAGGCGCGAAAACUUCACAAUGUGCGAAAGCGCGAUGAGGGAAUCCCAAGUGCUUGCUCGUAAGAGUAAGCUGUUUUUAUGUCUAAAAAGCAUGAAGAGUAAGGGCUGGGUAAGACGGGUGCCAGCCGCCGCGGUAAUACCUGCAGCUCAAGUGGUGAUCACUAUUAUUGGGCCUAAAACGUUCGUAGCCGGUUUGGUAAAUGCCUGGGUAAAUCGUGUAGCUUAACUAUACGAAUUCCGGGUAGACUGCUAAACUUGAGACCGGGAGAGGCUAGAGGUACUCCUGGGGUAGAGGUGAAAUUCUGUAAUCCUGGGGGGACCACCAGUGGCGAAGGCGUCUAGCUAGAACGGGUCUGACGGUGAGGGACGAAGCCCUGGGGCGCAAACCGGAUUAGAUACCCGGGUAGUCCAGGGUGUAAACGCUGCUUGCUUGAUGUUAGUUGGGCUCCGAGCCCAAUUAGUGUCGGAGAGAAGUUGUUAAGCAAGCUGCCUGGAAGUACGUCGCAAGAC
rnacentral:rRNA from 1 species